UCUCCGUAGGUGAACCUGCGGAGGGAUCAUUACACAAAUAUGAAGGCGGGCUGGAACCUCUCGGGGUUACAGCCUUGCUGAAUUAUUCACCCUUGUCUUUUGCGUACUUCUUGUUUCCUUGGUGGGUUCGCCCACCACUAGGACAAACAUAAACCUUUUGUAAUUGCAAUCAGCGUCUGAAAAUAAUCUAAUUAUUUACAACUUUCAACAACGGAUCUCUUGGUUCUG
rnacentral:misc_RNA from 1 species